rnacentral:rRNA from 1 species
GAUGAACGCUAGCGGCAGGCCUAACACAUGCAAGUCGAACGGUAAGGUCUCUUCGGAGAUACACGAGUGGCGCACGGGUGAGUAACGCGUAUGCAACCUACCCUUAACUGGGGGAUAGCCCGGAGAAAUUCGGAUUAAUACCCCAUAAUAUCCCGACAAUACCUAUUGAUGGGAUUAAAACUCAGGUGGUUAAGGAUGGGCAUGCGUGACAUUAGCUAGUUGGUGAGGUAACGGCUCACCAAGGCUGCGAUGUCUAGGGGGCCUGAGAGGGUGAUCCCCCACACUGGUACUGAGACACGGUCCAGACACCUACGGGAGGCUG